GGAUAUAGCCAAGUGGUAAGGCAAGGGACUUUGACUCCUUCACCAUCGGUUCGAAUCCGGUUAUC
rnacentral:tRNA from 1 species